UUAAUUGAAACCAAACAGAGGUAUAUCACUGUUAAUGAUACCAUUGAAAACUAAUUUCCAAUUAAA
rnacentral:tRNA from 1 species